GGCGGUAUAGCCAAGUUGGUAAGGCAGAGGAUUGCAAAUCCUUGAUUUCCUCAGUUCAAGUCUGAGUGCCGCCU
rnacentral:tRNA from 1 species